rnacentral:tRNA from 1 species
GCUGAUGUGGCGCAGUCGGUAGCGCGUCGCCUUGGUAAGGCGGAGGUCACGGGUUCAAGUCCCGCCAUCAGCU